CAAAAUGUAGCUUAAAUAAAGCAUCUUGCUUACACCAAGAAAAUACCUGUGAAAUCCAGAUCAUUUUGAG
rnacentral:tRNA from 1 species